rnacentral:rRNA from 1 species
GUCUGAUUAGCUAGUUGGCGGGGUAAUGGCCCACCAAGGCGACGAUCAGUAGCCGGCCUGAGAGGGUGAUCGGCCACACUGGAACUGAGACACGGUCCAGACUCCUACGGGAGGCAGCAGUGGGGAAUAUUGGACAAUGGGGGAAACCCUGAUCCAGCAACGCCGCGUGGAGGAUGAAGGUCUUCGGAUUGUAAACUCCUGUUAGGGGGGACGAAGGGAUGUCGGCAAACAGCCGGCAAACUUGACGGUACCCCAGAGGAAGCCCCGGCUAACUCUGUGCCAGCAGCCGCGGUAAUACAGAGGGGGCAAGCGUUAUUCGGAAUUAUUGGGCGUAAAGGGCGCGUAGGCGGCCUUGUAAGUCUUGGGUGAAAUCCCUCAGCUCAACUGAGGAACUGCCUCGGAAACUGCAAGGCUUGAGGCCGGGAGAGGGUAGUGGAAUUCCCAGUGUAGCGGUGAAAUGCGUA